rnacentral:rRNA from 1 species
GACGAACGCUGGCGGCGUGCUUAACACAUGCAAGUCGAACGGAAAGGCCCUGCUUGCAGGGUACUCGAGUGGCGAACGGGUGAGUAACACGUGGGUGUUCUGCCCUGCACUUCGUGGUAAGCCUGGGGAACUGGGUCUAAUAUCCGAGAGGGGCCAUUCUUAUUGUUAUGGUUGGAAAGUUUUUUUGGUGUGGGAUGAGCUUGCGGGCUACCAGCUUGUUUGUGGGGUAAUGGCCUACCAAGGCGGCGGCGGGCAGCCGGCCUGGGUGGGUGGACGGCCAAAUUGGGACCGGGAUACGGCCCAGACUCCUACGGGGGGCAGCAGUGGGGAAUAUUGCACAAUGGGCGCAAGCCUGAUGCAGCGACGGCGCGUGGGGGAUGACGGGCUUCGGGUUGUAAACCCCUUUCGCUAGGGAAGAAGCUGUGUGUGACGGUACCGAGAUAAGAAGCACCGGCUAACUACGUG